AUCUGUUGGAGGCAUGGUGAUGGUAGGACUCUGUCAGGACAUCGCUUGGUCCAGAGAUGGGACAUGCCUAGCUGAUUCAAGCUCCUGCUACUGUGAUGCCCUGCCCCUCCCCUGCCAUGAUGGACAGUCUCCUGAACUGUGAGCCAGAGGGGCAGCAGCAUUUACUGUCCUUGCAGGAUGACUGAGCAGUCGACAGAAAGCACUUGGGAGCAGGGCAAGUGACCAAGGCG